AGACCUUUCAGGAAUCCUCAUUUGGAACUCAGCUCUCUUUGGCAAUAAAGCUGAUGAAGAAAGACGGACAAAGAAUCUGGACGAGAGAGAGAGAGAGAGAUUGGGGGGACGCAUACAGCAACUGAGAGGGCAAGGAGGAGGGGGAGAGGUAGAAACAGGAGGGAAAGGGGAAGUUAGGGAGAGAGAGAGAGAGAGAUUGGGGGGACGCAUACAGCAACUGAGAGGGCAAGGAGGAGGGGGAGAGGUAGAAACAGGAGGGAAAGGGGAAGUUAGGGAUAGGUAUUAUGGGAAUAAAAGAAAUUUCUCUUUCAUGUGACUUGUUUGCAUAUGAAAUAUACGGGUUUCAAAAAAAUUAAUAGAACAACUGAAGUAUUCGACAUAAUCAAAUUCAAACAUUAGGAUUAUGAGAACCUGAG
rnacentral:lncRNA from 1 species